rnacentral:rRNA from 1 species
GACGAACGCUGGCGGCGCGCCUAACACAUGCAAGUCGAACGAGCGAGAGAGAGCUUGCUUUCUCAAGCGAGUGGCGAACGGGUGAGUAACGCGUGAGGAACCUGCCUCAAAGAGGGGGACAACAGUUGGAAACGACUGCUAAUACCGCAUAAGCCCACGACCCGGCAUCGGGUAGAGGGAAAAGGAGCAAUCCGCUUUGAGAUGGCCUCGCGUCCGAUUAGCUAGUUGGUGAGGUAACGGCCCACCAAGGCGACGAUCGGUAGCCGGACUGAGAGGUUGAACGGCCACAUUGGGACUGAGACACGGCCCAGACUCCUACGGGAGGCAGCAGUGGGGAAUAUUGCACAAUGGGGGAAACCCUGAUGCAGCGACGCCGCGUGGAGGAAGAAGGUCUUCGGAUUGUAAACUCCUGUUGUUGAGGAAGAUAUGACGGUACUCAACAAGGAAGUGACGGCUAACUACGUG